rnacentral:rRNA from 1 species
CGCCUCUUGUUUAAAACUAAGAGGUCCAGCCUGCCCAGUGACCAAGUUCAACGGCCGCGGUAUCCUAACCGUGCGAAGGUAGCGUAAUCACUUGUUCUUUAAAUGAGGACUAGUAUGAAUGGCACCACGAAGGUUAUACUGUCUCCUUUUUCUAAUCAAUGAAACUGAUCUCCCCGUGAAGAAGCGGGGAUGAAAAUAUAAGACGAGAAGACCCUAUGGAGCUUUAAACUAUAUAGCACUGGCUUAAAACAUACACAUUUCAGAAUUACACCAACUAUUCCAGCCUUCAUGUCUGUUAGUUUUAGGUUGGGGUGACCGCGGAGUAAAAAUUAACCUCCACAUUGAACGGAACUAUUCCUGAGCUGAGAGCUACAACUUUAAGCACCAACAAAAUGACAUAAAUUGACCCAAUACUUUGAUCAACGAACCAAGUUACCCUAGGGAUAACAGCGCAAUCCAUUUCAAGAGCUCCUAUCGACAAAUGGGUUUACGACCUCGAUGUUGGAUCAGGGUAUCCCAGUGGUGCAGCCGCUACUAAAGGUUC